UGUUUGAUAAUAUUUAUAGAAAAAAUUUCUCUCACUUAAACGCACCACCGUAUAGGCAUUUUAACAUGUUGCUCUUUCAGGUGUUUUCGCUACUGUUGUUGCAAAAAUCUUCUUAUCAUGUCAUGCACCCGACACAUUUUUCAGUAACGGACUAUGCUAGUGGUUUCAACUUCAUGAAACUUGUCGAGUUCUUCACUUAUAUUAUUUUCUUCUAAAUUUUCUGUAAAAAUCAUGUCGGUUCUUCUCCAAAUAACUUCUAAAAUGAAAGUUGAUAGAGAGUAAAAUUUAGUAUUUAAGUUUAAUUAGAAUUUAUAUAAGUGGUAGUUUUAUUUGUAUUGUUAUUUAUUUGGGUCUUUAGUAAUAUUUGUGGCCUUUUUAGUUUGUUAUCCACUAGUAACAUUAUAUAUUGUAGUAUCAUUGAGACAUUAGGGUAUCAAAUGAAAAUCUUUAAUUUUGGAAAUUUCUCUAUAGACCUCCCAACCUUCUAGUCCACCUUUGGUGAAAAACCCAAACUACCCCUGACUUCGGAAGGUAAUUUCCGAAAUGCAAGAAAAAGGCGUUUUCGGAGAUGCAUCUCCGAAAGCGUCUUUUUUUUUUGGAAAAAUUGUCUUAUUUCGGAAGUUCAUUUCCGAAAACAGCAUUUCGGAAGUUCACUUCCGAAAUACUGCGCGUUCUGCAGAUUUAACAAAACACUCCCCCUCCCCCAUUCAUUUACCCUAACUCAAAUCAAAAACAAGCAAAGGCGGAAAUUUGUGCAAACACACUUCCAAGGCUGCAUCAAGGCUCUAAUCACAUUGCUAUACAACAUUCAAAAGCCCACAAAUCACUCAAUUUGAACAUGUCAGACAACCAACCAGCACGCAUCAAACAGGGUAGGGAGACCAAGACUGCAUUGGCUAGAGAGGGAAUGGGUGGCGCUAAGGGAAGAAAGGGUUCUUCAAAGAAGGAGGUGAAGGAGGUGAAGGAGAAGAAGAAGGUUUUGACUGGUUCUGCUUCUCGUCCCCUGGGGGUCCAUGGCUCGGACGUGCAGGCUCAGUCUUCAGGCGUGAGAGUCAUGAUCAACGCUGAUGGUUCUGAGACUGAGUGGGAUGAGGAUUGGUAUAAUUAUCUUCAUUCGGAGGAGUUCGCUCGUCGGGAAGAAUAACGUGUUUUUGUUUUGUUUGAUGUGUAUUUUGUAACGCUCGUCGGGCAAAAUAACGUGUUUUUGUUUUGUUUGACGUGUUUUGUUUUGUUUUGUUUUGAUUUCGGAUUGUAUCUUUCGCAUAGUGUUUUUGGAUUGGAUUUAUCAUCUUAGUAUUUUCAGUUUA